rnacentral:rRNA from 1 species
GAUGAACGCUGGCGGCGUGCCUAAUACAUGCAAGUCGAGCGAACAGACGAGGAGCUUGCUCCUCUGACGUUAGCGGCGGACGGGUGAGUAACACGUGGAUAACCUACCUAUAAGACUGGGAUAACUUCGGGAAACCGGAGCUAAUACCGGAUAAUAUAUUGAACCGCAUGGUUCAAUAGUGAAAGACGGUUUUGCUGUCACUUAUAGAUGGAUCCGCGCCGCAUUAGCUAGUUGGUAAGGUAACGGCUUACCAAGGCGACGAUGCGUAGCCGACCUGAGAGGGUGGUCGGCCACACUGGAACUGAGGCACGGUCCAGACUCCUACGGGAGGCAGCAGUAGGGAAUCUUACGCAAUGGGCGAAAGCCUGACGGAGCAACGCCGCGUGAGUGAUGAAGGUCUUCGGAUCGUAAAACUCUGUUAUUAGGGAAAAACAAAUGUGUAAGUAACUAUGCACGUCUUGACGGUACCUAAUCAGAAAGCCACGGCUAACUACGUG